rnacentral:rRNA from 1 species
UACGAGGGGUCCUAGCGUUGUUCGGAAUCAUUGGGCGUAAAGGGUGUGUAGGUGGCUAUGUAAGUCAGGUGUGAAAGCCCCGGGCUCAACCCGGGAAGUGCAUCUGAUACUGCGUAGCUUGAGUACCGAAGAGGAUAGUGGAAUUCCAGGUGUAGUGGUGAAAUACGUAGAUAUCUGGAGGAACACCGGUGACGAAGGCGGCUAUCUGGUCGAGUACUGACACUGAGACACGAAAGCAUGGGGAUCAAACAGG